rnacentral:rRNA from 4 species
GGUCCGGCCGGGCCUUUCCCUCUGUGGAACCCCAUGCCCUUCACUGGGCGUGGCGGGGAAACAGGACUUUUACUGUGAAAAAAUUAGAGUGCUCCAGGCAGGCCUAUGCUCGAAUACAUUAGCAUGGAAUAAUAGAAUAGGACGUGUGGUUCUAUUUUGUUGGUUUCUAGGACCGCCGUAAUGAUUAAUAGGGACAGUCGGGGGCAUCAGUAUUCAAUUGUCAGAGGUGAAAUUCUUGGAUUUAUUGAAGACUAACUACUGCGAAAGCAUUUGCCAAGGAUGUUUUCAUUAAUCAGGAACGAAAGUUAGGGGAUCGAAGACGAUCAGAUACCGUCGUAGUCUUAACCAUAAACUAUGCCGACUAGGGAUCGGACGGUGUUAUUUUUUGACCCGUUCGGCACCUUACGAGAAAUCAAAGUGCUUGGGCUCCAGGGGGAGUAUGGUCGCAAGGCUGAAACUUAAAGAAAUUGACGGAAGGGCACCACCAGGGGUGGAGCCUGCGGCUUAAUU